rnacentral:rRNA from 1 species
GACGAACGCUGGCGGCGUGCUUAACACAUGCAAGUCGAACGAAGAGCGAUGGAAGCUUGCUUCUAUCAAUCUUCGUGGCGAACGGGUGAGUAACGCGUAAUCAACCUGCCCUUCAGAGGGGGACAACAGUUGGAAACGACUGCUAAUACCGCAUACGAUCUGACCUCGGCAUCGAGGAUAGAUGAAAGGUGGCCUCUAUUUAUAAGCUAUCACUGAAGGAGGGGAUUGCGUCUGAUUAGCUAGUUGGAGGGGUAACGGCCCAACAAGGCGAUGAUCAGUAGCCGGGUGGAGAGGAGGAACGGCCACAAUGGGACUGAGACACGGCCCAGACUCCUACGGGAGGCAGCAGGGGGGAAUCUUCCGCAAUGGACGAAAGUCUGACGGAGCAACGCCGCGGGAGUGAUGACAGCCUUCGGGUUGUAAAGCUCUGUUAAUCGGGACGAAAGGCCUUCUUGCGAAUAGUUAGAAGGAUUGACGGUACCGAAAGAGAAAGCCACGGCUAACUACGUG